rnacentral:rRNA from 1 species
GACGAACGCUGGCGGCGUGCUUAACACAUGCAAGUCGAACGAAAAGAGGGAAAGAGCUUGCUCUUUCCGGAAUUGAGUGGCAAACGGGUGAGUAACACGUAAACAACCUGCCUUCAGGAUGGGGACAACAGACGGAAACGACUGCUAAUACCGAAUAAGUUCCAAGGGCCGCAUGGCCCAUGGAAGAAAAGGUGGCCUCUACUUGUAAGCUAUCGCCGGAAGAGGGGUUUGGGUCUGAUUAGCUGGUUGGGGGGGUAACGGCCCACCAAGGCGACGAUCAGUAGCCGGUCUGAGAGGAUGAACGGCCACACUGGAACUGAGACACGGUCCAGACUCCUACGGGAGGCAGCAGUGGGGAAUCUUCCGCAAUGGGCGAAAGCCUGACGGAGCAACGCCGCGUGAGUGAUGACGGCCUUCGGGUUGUAAAACUCUGUGAUCCGGGACGAAAAGGCAGAGUGCGAAGAACAAACUGCAUUGACGGUACCGGAAAAGCAAGCCACGGCUAACUACGUG